AAAGGAAGAGAGAAGCCAGGUGUGGUGAUGGCGGCUCUUCUCUUUAGUCUCAGUGUGCUUGGGAGGCGGAGGCAGGAUGAUCACAACUUCAAGACCAGUCUCAGCUGGAUAGCUGGGCCACGAGAGAGACUUCAUCUCAAAACAAGCAAACAAAUACAUGCACAAAGAGCUAUCUGGAGGGAACAUGCAUCUCCUUUAAAGAUAAUAGGAAGAAAGAGGCUUGGCAUGGAGCAAGCUACUUAAGGACUAUUUAGGAAGAGACCUCCACAUGAAGGUGUUGGGAAGAACAGCACAUUGAAUAGUGACAUCCCUACGACAUGCCUCUCCAGGUGGUGCGACAUGCCUCUUCUCUUACCCAGGGCGCCUUGCCUCAUUAUCUCCCCCCCACCCCCCCUUUGAGUCACAGGAAGAAGAUGUGACUUUGAGAAACUGGUCUUCAAACUGGAGAGAGAGAGAGAGGGGCAUCUAGGAGUCGAGGAAGAAGGAGGAGGAAGAGAAAGGUAAAGGCAGAGGAGGAGGAAGAAAGAAAAGAGGAAGAGGAGGGGGAAGAAAAAGAAGAAAGAAAAAGGGAGGAAGGGAAAGGAAGGAGAAAUAGGUCCAGUCUGGCCGGGUCUGCAAAGGAGAUGUGCUUCAAGGACGGCGAUUGUUAUGGUCUUAAUGUUUGUGUCUCCUUAAAAUCCACACGCUGGAAGGAACCUUUGGCCCUAAAGAUGGCAGUACAGAGAUGUUGGGCCUUCUGUGGGUGGUUUGGUCAUGAAGACAGAACUGCCCUCAUUCCCAGCUGGACUAGCACUCUUAUAAAACAAGCUCCAAGACCUGUUUGCCUUCCCUCCCAUGUGAGCUGAUUAUGACAAAGGAAGUAGGGCCCAGCCAGACCCCCACCCCCACCCCGAACCUUGAUCUCGGACUUCUCUGAAACUGUGAGGAAUAAAUGUUUAUUUGUGAGUAAGCUUCCUGGUCUUAGGCCUUUUGUUAUAGUAACCCCAGUGGACUCAUGCUCUGGUGGAAAAUUCAAGAGUCUACACCAAUAGCUCAAGAGCCAGAGCAGUCGGGCCUAGGACAGUGCAAACAAACGGUGAAACCUACCUUGCCAUUGUCAGAGGCGUGGCCUCAGCAGAGGCGUGGCUUCAGCAGAGGCGUGUCCACUGUAGGAAUAGAGCAAAAUAAAGCCUAGAAAUGCGGAGGAGACUGUCCAGUUUAUUAAGGAGAGUAUAUGACAUCAGAUUCUAGUCACAGCAGACUGGGCAGCCAGUGAGAUGGAGGUCUGUAUGAAAACCAGAAAUGUUCCUCAUUUUUGUAAUGUACUAAGGGUUUUGUAAAGAUUCUGCAUGGAAACUGUGAAUCAAGUUCAGGCCACCCUCUUUCCCAUGUCCAAAGGACACAAUGUGUCCUGACACCUGGAAAUCCCUUUUGUCUCCACUCACCCAAAGUCCUCAAACACCACACACCCAUGGUUUGAGGUCUUUCUCAUCUCUGCUCUUUUGCUUUUGUCUCUUUUUAAGACACUAGCUUGCCAUUGUCCCACGGAUUGGGCUCCCAAGGCCAGAUAUAUAAUUUACGUGAUUCACAACUUUAAUACAUU
rnacentral:lncRNA from 1 species